CUCGUAGUGCCGGAAAUUACGGGAUACCUUGAUGGGGUAUACAUGGCGAUCUCGCCCUACGAGA
rnacentral:tRNA from 1 species